GACGAACGCUGGCGGCGUGCCUAAUACAUGCAAGUCGAGCGAAUCUGAUGGGAGCUUGCUCCUUGAUGAUUAGCGGCGGACGGGUGAGUAACACGUGGGUAACCUGCCUGUAAGACUGGGAUAACUCCGGGAAACCGGGGCUAAUACCGGAUAACUUUUUUCUUCGCAUGAGGGAGAAUUGAAAGAUGGCUUCGGCUAUCACUUACAGAUGGACCCGCGGCGCAUUAGCUAGUUGGUGAGGUAACGGCUCACCAAGGCGACGAUGCGUAGCCGACUUGAGAGGGUGAUCGGCCACACUGGGACUGAGACACGGCCCAGACUCCUACGGGAGGCAGCAGUAGGGAAUCUUCCGCAAUGGACGAAAGUCUGACGGAGCAACGCCGCGUGAGUGAUGAAGGUUGUCGGAUCGUAAAACUCUGUUGUUAGGGAAGAACAAGUAUCGUUCGAAUAGGGCGGUACCUUGACGGUACCUAACCAGAAAGCCACGGCUAACUACGUG
rnacentral:rRNA from 1 species